AUGGCUAGGGUGAUGUGGAGAGCCGUUGGGUGUGUCCUGGGUAUGGAUCGAUGCCCAAAAAAUAUAUGGCAAUAUUUUGCUUGGUGCUACAUGUUCCUUCCUGAUGGGGAAAAAUUCUAUACUUUUGGCUUGGCAGCUAUGUGCUGGGCCUUGUGGAACUGUCGUAACAAAGUAACAUUUGAGGCCAAACAGAUGAGGUCUCCUUUUGAGGUUCUGUACUCAGCUUGUGGGUAUUUGGAUUACUGGGCAGGACUGAUGAAUGGAGAUGAUCGCGAGACCAUGGAGCGCAGAGCCAAAAUGCUGAAGACCAACGCGUCGACCCUGAUGCGUAUCUGUGCGGCGCCAGGAGAUGCAAGACAAGGAUGA
rnacentral:rRNA from 1 species